rnacentral:misc_RNA from 1 species
GAUGAAGAACGUAGCGAAAUGCGAUAAGUAAUGUGAAUUGCAGAAUUCCGUGAAUCAUCGAAUCUUUGAACGCACAUUGCGCCCGCUAGUAUUCUGGCGGGCAUGCCUGUUCGAGCGUCAUUUCAACCAUCAAGCCCCAGGCUUGUGUUGGGGGCCUGCGGCUGCCGCAGCCCCUGAAAAGCAGUGGCGGGCUCGCUGUCAUUCCGAGCGCAGUAGUUACAUCUCGCUCCGGGCGUGGCGGUGGGCACCUGCCGUGAAACACUCCUUCUAAGGUUGACCUCGGAUCAGGUAGGAAUACCCGCUGAACUUAAGCAUAUCAAUAAGCGGAGGA